rnacentral:rRNA from 1 species
AUGCCCACGCCCUCCCGAUCCCGAUUCCUGCCAUUGCCAGUCCUCCUACUCAUCCUUGCAGGUGCAGCAGCCAUUGCGGGUGAGCAAGAUGAGCAGCAGCCGAUCACGCAUCCGGGCUGCCCGGACAAGUGCGGCAACAUGAGCAUCCCGUUCCCCUUCGGCCUGAUGCCCGGCUGCUUCCGCGAGGGCUUCCAGGUCACCUGCGAUCACUCCUUCGACCCGCCUCGAGCCUUCCUCGCCGGCAGCGACCCUGACACGACGACGAACCUCAUCACGCUCACCGAGCGCGACGAAUCGGCGGUCUCCGACGACCCCGAUCUGGUCUACUCGUACUCCAACACCUCCAGCUGGGGAGUCGAGCUCAUGGACGUGUCGAUCGACAGGAGCGAGGCACGGGCGUACGGCCCCGUCACGUCCCGCUGCAGCACCAGCAUCGCGCAAUCCAAGCUCAAGGAACAGGCCAUGACGCUGGAGGAGCCGUUCGCCGCCUCCAAGACGCUCAACGUCGUCGUCGGCGUCGGUUGGAAGGUCGGCGUCACGGACGGCUCAAGCUCCAGCUCCUACACGACGACGUUCGCCUGCCGCUCGGAGCUCGCCGCCAGCCAUCUCGAGCACGCGAGGAACGGGUCGUGCACGGGGCGGGGCUGCUGCGAGGCCGCCCUGAGCUCGGAGCCCGGCUACGGGAUCGUGCCGGGGGUCAGUGCCGAGAACAACACCCUAUGGAGGACCAACCCAUGCUCCUACGCCAUGGUGAUCGAGAAGUCACGCUACACCUUCUCGACGCCGGACCUGUACGUCGACAAGGUGCUGCCGAAGAAGUUCCCAAGGGGCGCCCCGGUCGUGCUCGACUUCGCCAUCGUCGGGGACGCCGCUUGCCCGGUGAAAGGCCAGCGGCCGCCGCCAGACAACGCGUGCGUCAGCAACAACAGCCAUUGUGUCAACGCGACGGUUGGCCAGUCGAGCUACGCACUCAGCUACGUGUGCAAGUGCUCCGAGCACUACCAGGGCAAUCCUUACAUCGCCAAUGGCUGCAGAGACAUCGAUGAGUGCAAGUUCCCAGAUAUAUAUUUUUGCUCAAGCAAGGGCAUAUGUAUGAACAGACUUGAUGGCUAUGAUUGUCCAUGCAAGCCUGGAAUGAAAGGCGAUGGAAAAUCAGGACACUGUGCAGAAACAUUCCCCCUAGUAGCCAAGGCGAUUGUGGGCACAAUCGGUUGUAUUUUUGUCAUUGUAGUUAUGUCAUUUCUACUUCUUCUUAGCAAAGAGAAAAAGAAGACAAAAGAGUUCUAUGAAAAGAAUGGUGGGUCUACACUAGAGAAAGCAAAAAUUAUAAAACUUUUCAAAAAGGGUGAGCUCAUCCCUUAUUUGAAAGAUACCAAUUUUAUUGGAAAUGGUGGUUUCGGUGCAGUUUACAAGGGCAUCCUUGGUGAUGAAUUAGUUGCAAUCAAGAAGACGAUUAGUGGUAGUCUGCUAGAGAAUGAACAGUUUGCAAAUGAAGUCAUCAUCCAAUCCCAAGUCAUCCAUAAGAACAUUAUCAGGCUCAUAGGUUGUUGCCUGGAAGUUGAUACCCCAUUGCUAGUAUAUGAGUUUCUUUCCAAUGGUAGCCUCCAUGACAUUCUUCACGGCAAUGACAACAAACCUUUGAACUUGGAUACACGUUUAAGAAUUGCUGCAGAAUCUGCAGAUGGUCUAGCUUACAUGCAUUCAAAAACAAUCACCAAAAUCCUACAUGGUGAUGUCAAACCAGCAAAUAUACUGUUGGAUGAUAGGUUUGUCGCCAAGAUUGCAGACUUCGGCAUAUCGAGGUUGAUUGCAAGAGACAAGCAACACACCGCAAAAGUCAUCGGUGAUAUGAGUUAUAUGGAUCCAGUAUAUUUACAGUCAGGCUUGCUUACUGAAAAGAGUGAUGUCUAUAGCUUUGGAGUUGUGCUCUUGGAACUUAUUAGUAGGAAGAAGGCCAUGCACUCUGAUAACAACAGCUUAGUCAACAGUUUCAUUGGAGCUCAUAAAAGAGGGGAGAGGGCAACCGAGUUGUUUGACAAAGAAAUUGCUGUAGGAGAAGAUUUGGAGAUUCUUCAAAGUCUAGCAGGGAUGGCAAUCGAAUGUCUCAGCCUUGAGGUGGAUCAAAGACCAGACAUGACAGAUAUAGCACACCGCCUUCUCAUACAGAAUAAUUCGCGUAAUGCAUAA